GCACCGUUGGUCUAAUGGUUAGGAUAUCUGCCUUCCAUCCAAUUGCCAAGCAGAUGGUCCGGGUUCAAUUCCCGGACGGUGCA
rnacentral:tRNA from 1 species